rnacentral:rRNA from 1 species
AAAGCGUGCGCAGGCGGUUAUAUAAGACAGAUGUGAAAUCCCCGGGCUCAACCUGGGAACUGCAUUUGUGACUGUAUAGCUAGAGUACGGCAGAGGGGGAUGGAAUUCCGCGUGUAGCAGUGAAAUGCGUAGAUAUGCGGAGGAACACCGAUGGCGAAGGCAAUCCCCUGGGCCUGUACUGACGCUCAUGCACGAAAGCGUGGGGAGCAAACAGGAUUAGAUACCCGUGU